rnacentral:rRNA from 1 species
UACGUAGGGGGCAAGCGUUGUCCGGAAUCAUUGGGCGUAAAGAGCGUGUAGGCGGCUCGGUAAGUCCGCUGUGAAAGUCCAGGGCUCAACCCUGGAAUGCCGGUGGAAACUGUCGAGCUAGAGUCCGGAAGAGGCGAGUGGAAUUCCUGGUGUAGCGGUGAAAUGCGCAGAUAUCAGGAGGAACACCAAUGGCGAAGGCGGGUCUCUGGACAGUUCCUGACACUGAGACACGAAGGCCAGGGGAGCAAACGGG